UACGUAGGGGGCAAGCGUUGUCCGGAUUUAUUGGGCGUAAAGAGCGUGUAGGCGGCCAGGUAGGUCAGCUGUGAAAACUCGAGGCUCAACCUCGAGACGCCGGUUGAAACCAUCUGGCUAGAGUCCGGAAGAGGAGAGUGGAAUUCCGGGUGUAGCGGUGGAAUGCGUAGAGAUCCGGAAGAACACCAGUGGCGAAGGCGGUUAGCUGGGCAGUUGCUGACACUGAUGCGCGACAGCGUGGGGAGCAAACAGG
rnacentral:rRNA from 1 species